UUGGGAUAGUGCUGCAGCCAAGAACUUAACGACUGAAAGUAACUGGGAUAUCUUCAUAAUUAUCUGAAGGUCACAGUGGGAGAACAAAAUUAAAAGAACUGAGAAGACUUACAAGAGAACCUCCUAAGAGUCACCCAAACAAUCGGCUGAGAAUGAGAAGAGAAAGCCUCACAUUGUGCAGUGGAGAAGCUGAGAGAAGAGGAAAAGAGGAGUGGCCAGGUAAGGCAGAAGCAGAAGUGUGGGUUUUAAAGUGCUGGUAAUCCAGGGAAGGUCACUUCCCACCUUCCACCAAGGAGAAGCUGG
rnacentral:lncRNA from 1 species